GUGUCGGGAUGGAUGUAGAGUGUGUCGGGAUGGAUGUAGAGUGUGUCGGGAUGCUUAGAACAGUGCCAAUCAGUCACUAUAUGGCACUGCUCACAUGUUACAUGCUGUUUCUGUAACAGGAUUUACCCUCUACUUUUAUAUUUAAUAGUGACUGUUAUUGUUUCAGUGUACAAAGUGUGGAAUGGAUGCAAACACUAAUCGUCUGGAGUCAGGUGCUACCUCUGGAGAUGUUACCCAGUGCACCCAACAUUCACAACACAAAUCUGCUUCCCACAUCGAGGUGACAGAAAGUGUAAUAGAGGUGGACAGUAAUCGUUUGGAGUCAGAUGGUGCCUCUGGAGAUGAUCAUCAUUGCACUCAACAUUCACAGGAUGAGUCUACAUUCUGCAAUCUGGUGACAGAAAGUGGAAUAGAGGUGGACAGUAAUCGUUUGGAGUCAGAUGGUGCCUCUAGAGAUGAUCAUCAUUGCACCCAACAUUCACAGCAUGAGUCUUCAUUCUGUAAUCUGCAAGUGCCAGAUGAAACAUUUUCUGAUGACCAGUAUUGUAUACCGCACUCACAAGUGGAAACAAGCACUCCUCAGGUUGGAUAAAUUGUCACUUUUCUGAAUAUAAAAAGUGGACCUUUUUAAUUAGUACUUAAUUCAGUGAAACACCAGAUAUGAUUGGUGUCUACUCCAGUGAAAAGCCUGUGAUGUGGGCGGCUCCAAACUAGGUUUUAUCUAUUGAUGGCGCAAGUAUGGUAUAUGGGAGAUGGAAGGUUAGCUAGGCCUUUCUAUAAUCCCUAAUGGCUUGGUACAUGUAGAUAACAUCUUAACUUGUAUAAUUGUAUCCACAACCAUCUAGCAACACCAUAGUGACCACAUUUUAAGCUCCACAAUCACUGUAUUCUUCAGAAAAUGCACAACCUGUAGUUCUUAAUAAUAAUAAUAAUUUAUUAUUAUUAUGAGGUGUCCUUAAUCAUUGAGGAUGCAUUCAAAAAGACUGCACUUGUUCUGUGUUUAAGUAGAUAUUGAGCCAGAACUGAAACCAUCUACAGAGCAAGCCCAGAAAACCUCAUCUGAGCAAGCAACAGAACCAACCAGUACCACAUCUGUUCCCAAAGGU
ensembl:lncRNA